AAGACCAGUUCUAAGGGAUUUCCCUAGUUCAUUCCUGAUCUUUCUUUUCCUAACUCUCGUCUCCAUUUAAGACUUUAAGUCUUUUUUUCUAAAUUUAUUUAUUUAUUUAUUUCCUUUUUAUUUAUUUAUUUAUUUUUCCUGCUCUACAGCUUGGGGACCAAGUUACACAUACAUGUAUACAUACUUUUUCCUCCCAUUGUUGUGUUUCAAUGUAAGUAUCAAGACAUAGUUCCCAAGACUACAUGGCAGGAUCUCAUUGUAAAUCCAUCUCUUAAAGUCUUAAAUUCUCCAGCCAUUAAGUCUUCUCCCAAUAGGGUGUUCCGGAAUCUGAACCUAGUGGCCCAGAAGGAACGCCCAGUAUGUGUGUUAUAAGGUGGAGUGAUGUGUGUGUCUGCAGGUUUGUACCAGAGCCAGCAGUAAGGACUGGAAAGGGCAAGACUUUGCACGACGUCUUUUCAACAAUCCAGCGAAACCAGGAGAGGGAGUUCCAGUUGUGGCUCAGUGGUAACCAACCGGACUAGUACCCAUGAGGAUGCAAGUUUGAUCCUUGGCCCCAUUCAGUGGGUUAAGGAUCUGGUUUUCCCAUGAGUGGUGUGGGUCGCAGAUGUGGCUGGGAUCCUGAGUUGCUGUGGCUCUGGUGUAGGCCAGUGGCUACUGCUCUGAUUAGACCCCUAGCCUGGGAACCUCCAUAUGCCAUGAGUGGGGCCCUAAAAAGCAAAAAAUGAAACAAAACAAAACAAAAACCAAACCAAAACAAACGAACAGAACAGGAGAGAAGGGGGUACCUGCUGUGACCCAGAAUCCCUCUCAUGCUGUGGUCCUCUUCCUCCACCUCUUAUGUGGUGUGGGUUAAGGGGAGAAUUGUCACAGGAUAUCACCCUACUGUCCCAUCUUCCCUGUGCUCCUAUCCCCACCCAACUCCAAAUACUUCUCUAAGCCACUCAAACCCACAGGAGUAGGAAAGGGGUGCGUUGUUUGGGGGAGGGGCAGUCCCACGUGCCCCAUCUGGGGGAAAGGGCUGACUUUUUGGACCUGAGCCUAAGCGCUUUCUGUCCAUGCCAAGGGCUGCCUCCUGCAUCUGGGCCUGUGGGGUUAGAAGAGCUGCCAAAAUCCUAAACUGGGCAAUGACAGUGGACAGCCUAGAUCUUGGCCACUGACUCUGCCUCAGCCCUAGGGUCAUUCGGGACGUCUCUGGAGUUCCUUCCCCCCGCCAGGCCCUGGAACAGCCAUCCAGGCUCUGAAGUAGACUUGAGAAAGGCAUAAAGAAACCCCACAAGUCCCCUGUUUCAACCUAAAAGCCCUUCCAGGGGCAGGAACCCCAAGUGAGUGAAAAAGUACAAUUCACCAUUAAGCGGGAGUGUGGAGAAUCCCAUCCAGGGCUGUUUCUGGAUGGGACUUGCCCCCAACACUUGCAGUGCAGCCAACAGGAGUAUUUGUCCUUUCUCAAAAGACGAAGCCUGAAACCCUUUGCCUCCUUGUUCCAGAGAUCCAUUCGGCCCUAAACAGCCAGCCUUCCUUCCAGGAUUGCCUGUAGCCCUGAGCAACAGGUGGCUUAUUUCAGGCUGAAGGACAAGAGGCCUACUACCCCUGUGCCAAGGACGUCCCGCGGGGUCCUCACCUUUGAGCCCCGCCCACCAACCAAUGAGGACUCACAGAGGUGACGUCACUACAUCCUGUUUCCCAGCCCAGCCGGGAGCAUGGGACCCGGUGGGGAAAAGAGCCAAUGUAAAUGACGGAUGCCACGACCAUGUUGGUAAAGACGUGGAAGGCAAAUGAGUCAGCAGCAAGUUUAAGCAACGAACAAUUGCACCACGGGGUGUUUCUCAAAUUCUUGUCUACUUUUAGAAAGUAUGCAAUGCCAUCCGGUUGAGCGUCUUGGUUCUGAAAUAGCUACAGAAAAUGUUAAAAAUGCUGUGGGUGAAGAUGUGCCCACAUGUAUCGCUCUUCUAAAACAAUAGUUAACAAUGGCACAGCGUGUCCUCGGCACAUCUUUUCAUCUUGCUGUACCUUAGUUUCCUCACCCGGAACAUGAGCGGAAUGUGUGCACAUUGUCUUGGGAGAUUCCUUUCGGUCUGACGGUCCAUGAUAUGGUAUCAUGCUCACAGUCUUAAUACUCAGACUGGGUCUACACAGUGCCAAGACCACUAGCCAGUUCAGUGAGUGUGGACAAAAUGUUCUCUCCAAUCAAUUCCUUGGCACCAUGUGGCUAAAACAGCCAGGCCUAUGUGUGAAUAGAGAUGGUGGGAGUAUAAGAAAAAGGACAACUCAUUAUUGAUGUUUCAGAUGCCGUCAUGUUAUGGAUGACACUGGCAGGGACCCCAAGGGAUGAGACCUAUCUCUGCUGGAGAACGUUGGGCAUCUUAAUAGAUAAGAUAAUGAAGCGAAGCCUUAACAGCAAACACUCAUUAAACUUUAACGAUUUCUAUCUACCCUCGUCCCACAAGCAGCUUCCACACAUGCCUCUGCGCAGCUGUGGCCUCAGGACUGAGGCGCAGUGUAGACCGUGUUCAUCGGAACGGCGUUGGAUGACUUUAUUGACCAACUCGGCUCAGCUUUUCUAAGGGGAAAAGCUCUGUUCGUACCAAAGGCUUCUCCAGGCCCUUCCCCAACACCUCUGAUUAAACAGGCUGAGCUCCCCAGAGAACAAUCCGCACCAGGAUGCAGCGAAGCCCAGCAGUGGUCUUUCCUGAUGCUCUGGUCCUCCUCGCCCUGCCCGCUGACGGAUGACUCCGCUCCGUGACUUUACUGAACUCCAGUUCGCCCACCUCCCCACACUCGUGUCCUCGGCUGUGAGCAGGCGCACUUGUGACCUGGGAGAGAACCCAAACCAACACCGACCCUGACCCCUGACGGGAGUGUUAGACUCGCAGCAGAGUCAGAUGGGAGCUGCAGGGCAAGGCUCCCCUUACAUGUGGUCUGAACCCAGGGGAGUUCACCUCGCUGAGUUAAACUCGAUGUGCUGUGACUGCCGGGCCAUGGUGCUUCGUAUCUGACUCCCAAGGGACUCUCCCUCAAGUGACUGCAAGCUCCUUGGGCACUUUUCUAUUUUGGCAUCCCCUGGGAUCAUGCAGAGCACAGAGGGAUGCUCAGGCAGAAAGCACUUUGUGUCUCUGUGUCACCUUUUGGUUAAAAGGACUUUAAAAGUCAUGUUCUGGGAUGGCCUGCUUUGUACCUACCAGAGAGCAGGGUUUGCAGAGUCAGGCGACUUUAGGGGUCUGCUUACACUCUAACCUGAUCAGGGACCUGGUUGCUAAGCGACCUUUCAAUGGAGAUUAGUGAUAACAAACUCAGCAAAGAGCUGAGGCUUGAGAAAGGAAU
rnacentral:lncRNA from 1 species